CAACAAUUAGUUUAUUUUAAAAUAUAACGUUUGGGACGUUAAGAUAUUUUUGUUGA
rnacentral:tRNA from 1 species